rnacentral:rRNA from 1 species
UACGUAGGUGGCAAGCGUUGUCCGGAUUUAUUGGGUUUAAAGGGUGCGUAGGCGGUCUAUUAAGUCAGUGCUGAAAUAUCCCGGCUUAACCGGGAGGGUGGCAUUGAUACUGAUGGACUUGAGUAGAGUCGAGGUAGGCGGAAUUGACGGUGUAGCGGUGAAAUGCUUAGAUAUCGUCAAGAACACCGACAGUGUAGACAGCUUACUAGGCUCAAACUGACGCUGAGGCACGAAAGUGUGGGGAUCAAACAGG